rnacentral:rRNA from 1 species
UACGUAGGGUGCAAGCGUUAAUCGGAAUUACUGGGCGUAAAGCGUGCGCAGGCGGCUUUGCAAGACAGAUGUGAAAUCCCCGGGCUUAACCUGGGGACUGCGUCUGAUACUGCGAAGCUAGAGUACUGUAGAGGGAAGUGGAAUUUCCGGUGUAGCAGUGAAAUGCGUAGAUAUCGGAAGGAACAUCAGUGGCGAAGGCGACUUCCUGGACAGAUACUGACACUGAGGCACGAAAGCGUGGGGAGCAAACAGG